GACGUAGGGCGCGAGCGUUGUCCGGAAUCAUUGGGCGUAAAGAGCGUGUAGGCGGUUCGGUAAGUCGGCUGUGAAAGUCCAGGGCUCAACCCUGGGAUGCCGGUCGAUACUGCCGGACUAGAGUUCGGAAGAGGCGAGUGGAAUUCCCGGUGUAGCGGUGAAAUGCGCAGAUAUCGGGAGGAACACCUAUGGCGAAGGCAGCUCGCUGGGACGUUACUGACGCUGAGACGCGAAAGCGUGGGGAGCAAACGGG
rnacentral:rRNA from 1 species